rnacentral:rRNA from 1 species
UAUAAGCAACUUGUACUGUGAAACUGCGAAUGGCUCAUUAAAUCAGUUAUCGUUUAUUUGAUAGUACCUUACUACAUGGAUACCUGUGGUAAUUCUAGAGCUAAUACAUGCUAAAAACCCCGACUUCAGGAAGGGGUGUAUUUAUUAGAUAAAAAACCAACGCCCUUCGGGGCUCCUUGGUGAAUCAUAAUAACUUAACGAAUCGCAUGGCCUUGCGCCGGCGAUGGUUCAUUCAAAUUUCUGCCCUAUCAACUUUCGAUGGUAGGAUAGUGGCCUACCAUGGUGGCAACGGGUAACGGGGAAUUAGGGUUCGAUUCCGGAGAGGGAGCCUGAGAAACGGCUACCACAUCCAAGGAAGGCAGCAGGCGCGCAAAUUACCCAAUCCCGAUACGGGGAGGUAGUGACAAUAAAUACUGAUACGGGGCUCUUUUGGGUCUCGUAAUUGGAAUGAGAACAAUUUAAAUCCCUUAACGAGGAACAAUUGGAGGGCAAGUCUGGUGCCAGCAGCCGCGGUAAUUCCAGCUCCAAUAGCGUAUAUUAAAGUUGUUGCAGUUAAAAAGCUCGUAGUUGAACCUUGGGUCUGGCUGGCCGGUCCGCCUCACCGCGAGUACUGGUCCGGCUGGACCUUUCCUUCUGGGGAACCUCAUGGCCUUCACUGGCUGUGGGGGGAACCAGGACUUUUACUGUGAAAAAAUUAGAGUGUUCAAAGCAGGCCUUUGCUCGAAUACAUUAGCAUGGAAUAAUAGAAUAGGACGUGUGGUUCUAUUUUGUUGGUUUCUAGGACCGCCGUAAUGAUUAAUAGGGAUAGUCGGGGGCGUCAGUAUUCAGCUGUCAGAGGUGAAAUUCUUGGAUUUGCUGAAGACUAACUACUGCGAAAGCAUUCGCCAAGGAUGUUUUCAUUAAUCAGGGAACGAAAGUUAGGGGAUCGAAGACGAUCAGAUACCGUCGUAGUCUUAACCAUAAACUAUGCCGACUAGGGAUCGGACGGGAUUCUAUAAUGACCCGUUCGGCACCUUACGAGAAAUCAAAGUUUUUGGGUUCUGGGGGGAGUAUGGUCGCAAGGCUGAAACUUAAAGAAAUUGACGGAAGGGCACCACAAGGCGUGGAGCCUGCCGCUUAAUUUGACUC